rnacentral:rRNA from 1 species
UGGUGGAGCAUGUGGUUUAAUUCGAUGCAACGCGAAGAACCUUACCAAGGCUUGACAUAUACCGGAAACGUUCAGAAAUGUUCGCCCCGCAAGGUCGGUAUACAGGUGGUGCAUGGUUGUCGUCAGCUCGUGUCGUGAGAUGUUGGGUUAAGUCCCGCAACGAGCGCAACCCUCGUCGUAUGUUGCCAGCACGUAAUGGUGGGAACUCAUAUGAGACUGCCGGGGUCAACUCGGAGGAAGGUGGGGAUGACGUCAAAUCAUCAUGCCCCUUAUGUCUUGGGCUUCACGCAUGCUACAAUGGCUGGUACAAUGGGCUGCAAUACCGCGAGGUGGAGCGAAUCCCAAAAAGCCAGUCUCAGUUCGGAUUGGGGUCUGCAACUCGACCCCANNAAGUCGGAGUCGC